rnacentral:lncRNA from 1 species
GCUGCUCCCCGAAUAGGUAACGUUCUUUCCAUUCAGUUCUUAAAUAUUUCAGCUUUAUCUCGCUAUUAUAUGGUGACAAUUGACGUUUUGGUAUGCUGAGAUGUUCACUGUUUUCUUUGCAAUUUUCUAAACACAUUCAUUUCUUGUUGGUUGUAAGUUGCUAUAGCUAAAAGAAAAUGCAUUCCCUUUGCAUGUUCAAGUUAAUUUUCCUCCUUAGUGUAGGUACUAUUAGAGUAUGAGGCAUUAAAUUAUUUUUCCGUCAUCUUACCUGUGUCAUGAUUGGUUUGAUGAUGGACGUUAAGUUUGUGCUUUGAUGAACGUUGUGAAAAUUUGCCCGGAAUUUGCUCUAUUCAAAGUUAUUUGACCCUCUCUGGAGAUGCUAUUAUUCAUACUCUGUUGAUACUUAAUUGCUCAGAAUGGUUAUUAUAGAAUGAUGUAAAUCUUAUAUCUCUUGGUUAUUACGGAAUGAUGUAAAUUUUAUGUCUUUUUCGAGUGAUAUUUUGCAAAAGAUGUUUCGAGUUCUACGCACAUUUUAGCAUCGUUCGUCUCGUCGUUUCUUGGUUAAAAGAGGACUCUUCACUUUGUUUUCCCUGACUUACAAUGUCAAGAAGAAAACACUGGGAUUUACCUUUCAGGUGUCAAAUCUUUACUUUUUGUCUUUAAUGUCU